GUUGAACGCUGGCGGCAGGCCUAACACAUGCAAGUCGAGCGGAUGAGAGGAGCUUGCUCUUUGAUUCAGCGGCGGACGGGUGAGUAAUGCCUAGGAAUCUGCCUGGUAGUGGGGGACAACGUUUCGAAAGGAACGCUAAUACCGCAUACGUCCUACGGGAGAAAGUGGGGGAUCUUCGGACCUCAUGCUAUCAGAUGAGCCUAGGUCGGAUUAGCUAGUUGGUGAGGUAAUGGCUCACCAAGGCGACGAUCCGUAACUGGUCUGAGAGGAUGAUCAGUCACACUGGAACUGAGAAACGGUCCAGACUCCUACGGGAGGCAGCAGUGGGGAAUAUUGGACAAUGGGCGCAAGCCUGAUCUAGCCAUGCCGCGUGUGUGAAGAAGGUCUUCGGAUUGUAAAGCACUUUAAGUUGGGAGGAAGGUCAGUAGCUUAAUACGUUGCUGAUUUGACGUUACCGACAGAAUAAGCACCGGCUAACUCUGUGCCAGCCGCCGCAGUAACAC
rnacentral:rRNA from 1 species